UCCCAGCUCGGCUCCUCCUGCCUCCUCUGGUCUCCGGCACUUCCCCUUGGGCGCCACAGGCCCCAGCGGGAGCGAGAGGUGCCGGGUUCUAGCAAAGGUCUCCUGAGCUUCCUGCGGGAUCCUUUGGGUGGGGAAAGGGCAGCUGCUCUAGGGCUGGGGGGUCUUUUUGCAGCUUGGAAGUGCCUUUAAACGGAAGAUCGCUCGUGGUGGGAGCAGAGUACCAUAGGCUUUGGACUCGGUGGCUCGAGAGCUGACGGCAAGGCGGGCUUCGAGGCUUCUUCACCUCUGCCAGAUACCAGACCACGUUGCACGCAGGAACCAACAGAGGUAAGGGCAGCGAUCGCCUCUUACAGCUUUUAUAGGGCUGCAGGGAAUCCUGCCCGCCCAGAGCAGCCUGCUCCCAGCACAGCCCGACGAUGGGGAGACGCAGCUGCAGCGGGAAGGCCCUUCCCGUGCCCUGGCUGCUUGGCAGGCCGGACCCC
rnacentral:lncRNA from 1 species